CACGUAGGGAGCAAGCGUUGUCCGGAUUUAUUGGGCGUAAAGAGCUCGUAGGUGGUUCGGUAAGCCAGGUGUGAAACCUCCAGGCUCAACCUGGAGACGCCACUUGAUACUGCUGUGACUGGAGUCCGGUAGGGGAGCGUGGAAUUCCUGGUGUAGCGGUGAAAUGCGCAGAUAUCAGGAGGAACACCAGCGGCGAAGGCGGCGCUCUGGGCCGGUACUGACACUGAGGAGCGAAAGCGUGGGGAGCAAACAGG
rnacentral:rRNA from 1 species